AUCUGAUGGCUGGAACUCCAGUUGCCAUCUUAGAUCAUUAAGUGGAAGAGACGUGUUGAAGAUGGUGGAGCAGCAACAACUUAGAAGGAGCCUGGGUCUCUGACACCGUGGACCACAUACUAUUGCCUAGCUUUGGUCUUUCUUUGGGCUGGCCUUUUGCUUUGGAAUGGAGAAGCAAGAAGGACAGAGUGAAGGAACAGCUUGGGCCUUGCUGGGUCACGUUGACAGGAAAUUAACAUGUGUGGUCACCCUCUUUUUAUUAAGAGGAUCAUGUGCUAUUGGCCAGAAAGCAAUAACUUGCACUUAGCUCUCUUCACCGCACCCUGGCAGAGGGGCACCCAUAAAUGAGACUGGUAGCUGCCAAUUAAGGAACACUCAGCAAAGGGUAAAGUCUCUAUCUGCAACCUUAUCAACGAAUUAUCUUGGGUAUGCUGCUAUCACAUGGCGGAAUUCCACCAUACCACCUGUGACAUCCUUCCAGCUCUACGGUAGGGCCACUGGUUACAGGCAGCCCUAUCCAAAUCUUGCAAUGAAAUCCUCAAAGUGUCUGCCUUUGUUUCCUGAAACCAGCAUUUGUCAGAACUCUUCAACAGCGCU
rnacentral:lncRNA from 10 species